UCGGGAAUUUUGGGCAAUGGGCGCAAGCCUGACCCAGCAACGCCGCGUGAGGGAUGAAGGCCUUCGGGUCGUAAACCUCUGUCGGGAGGGAAGAACGGGAACCGGAGUAACUGCCGGUUUCCUGACGGUACCUCCAAAGGAAGCGCCGGCUAACUCCGUGCCAGCAGCCGCGGUAAUACGGAGGGCGCGAGCGUUGUUCGGAAUCACUGGGCGUAAAGCGCGUGUAGGCGGCUUGGCAAGUCGGGUGUGAAAUCCCGGGGCCCAACCCCGGAACUGCACUCGAAACUGCCUCGCUAGAGUCCCGGAGAGGAAGGCGGAAUUCCCGGUGUAGAGGUGAAAUUCGUAGAUAUCGGGAGGAACACCAGCGGCGAAGGCGGCCUUCUGGACGGUGACUGACGCUGAGACGCGAAAGCGUGGGGAGCAAACAGGAUUAGAUACCCCCGUAGUCC
rnacentral:rRNA from 1 species